UACGUAGGGCGCAAGCGUUAUCCGGAAUUAUUGGGCGUAAAGAGCUCGUAGGCGGUUUGUCGCGUCUGCCGUGAAAGUCCGGGGCUCAACUCCGGAUCUGCGGUGGGUACGGGCAGACUAGAGUUCGGUAGGGGAGACUGGAAUUCCUGGUGUAGCGGUGAAAUGCGCAGAUAUCAGGAGGAACACCGAUGGCGAAGGCAGGUCUCUGGGCCGAUACUGACGCUGAGGAGCGAAAGCGUGGGGAGCGAACAGG
rnacentral:rRNA from 1 species